UUUGCCUACGGGGGGCAGCAGUGGGGGAUAUUGCACAAUGGGGGAAACCCUGAUGCAGCGACGCCGCGUGAGUGAAGAAGUAUUUCGGUACGUAAAGCUCUAUCAGCAGGGAAGAAAAAUGACGGUACCUGACUAAGAAGCCCCGGCUAACUACGUGCCAGCAGCCGCGGUAAUACGUAGGGGGCAAGCGUUAUCCGGAUUUACUGGGUGUAAAGGGAGCGCAGGCGGUGCGGCAAGUCUGAUGUGAAAGCCCGGGGCUCAACCCCGGGACUGCAUUGGAAACUACCGAACUAGAGAGUCGGAGA
rnacentral:rRNA from 1 species